rnacentral:misc_RNA from 1 species
GAAAGAAAGAAAGAAAUAAAGAAAUAAAGAAGAGAGAGAAUCGUGGAAGGUGGUGCUUUUUUUUUUUUCUUUUCUUUGAAUUUUAAAGAUAAAAUUACCUUUUUAGUCCUUUAAUUUUCCAAACUCUUCAAGUGAGUCUUUGUUAGAACAAAUUAAUAAGAUUUAAAAUAACAUAAUAACAUAAAUUUAAGACAUUAAAAAUUUCUUUCA